rnacentral:rRNA from 1 species
GCUAAUACCGCAUAAAAACUUUAAACACAAGUUUUAAGUUUGAAAGAUGCAAUUGCAUCACUCAAAGAUGAUCCCGCGUUGUAUUAGCUAGUUGGUGAGGUAAAGGCUCACCAAGGCGAUGAUACAUAGCCGACCUGAGAGGGUGAUCGGCCACAUUGGGACUGAGACACGGCCCAAACUCCUACGGGAGGCAGCAGUAGGGAAUCUUCGGCAAUGGACGAAAGUCUGACCGAGCAACGCCGCGUGAGUGAAGAAGGUUUUCGGAUCGUAAAACUCUGUUGGUAGAGAAGAACGUUGGUGAGAGUGGAAAGCUCAUCAAGUGACGGUAACUACCCAGAAAGGGACGGCUAACUACGUGCCAGCAGCCGCGGUAAUACGUAGGUCCCGAGCGUUGUCCGGAUUUAUUGGGCGUAAAGCGAGCGCAGGUGGUUUAUUAAGUCUGGUGUAAAAGGCAGUGGCUCAACCAUUGUAUGCAUUGGAAACUGGUAGACUUGAGUGCAGGAGAGGAGAGUGGAAUUCCAUGUGUAGCGGUGAAAUGCGUAAAUAUAUGGAGGAACACCGGUGGCGAAAGCGGCUCUCUGGCCUGUAACUGACACUGAGGCUCGAAAGCGUGGGGAGCAAACAGGAUUAGAUACCCUGGUAGUCCACGCCGUAAACGAUGAGUGCUAGAUGUAGGGAGCUAUAAGUUCUCUGUAUCGCA